UGGGGAAUUUUACGCAAUGGGCGAAAGCCUGACGUAGCGACACCGCGUGAGCGAAGAAGCCUUUUGGGGUGUAAAGCUCUGUCAACAGGGACGAAAAAAAUGACGGUACCUGUGGAGGAAGCAUCGGCUAACUACGUGCCAGCAGCCGCGGUAAGACGUAGGAUGCGAGCGUUGUCCGGAUUUAUUGGGCGUAAAGAGUUCGUAGGUGGUUCGUUAAGUCUGAUGUUAAAGACUGGGGCUCAACCCUGGGAGUGCAUUGGAUACUGGCGGACUGGAGUGCAGUAGAGGCAAGCGGAAUUCCCAGUGUAGCGGUGAAAUGCGUAGAUAUUGGGAAGAACACCGGUGGCGUAAGCGGCUUGCUGGGCUGUAACUGACGCUGAGGAACGAAAGCUAGGGGAGCGAAUGG
rnacentral:rRNA from 1 species